rnacentral:rRNA from 1 species
GUGUCAGCCGCCGCGGUAAUACGGAGGGUGCAAGCGUUGUCCGGAUUUAUUGGGUUUAAAGGGUGCGUAGGCGGCUUUAUAAGUCCGUGGUGAAAGCCAACAGCUCAACUGUUGAACUGCCAUGGAUACUGUAAGGCUUGAGUACAGACGAGGUAGGCGGAAUGGAUGGUGUAGCGGUGAAAUGCAUAGAUACCAUCCAGAACACCGAUUGCGUAGGCAGCUUACUAGGCUGUAACUGACGCUGAGGCACGAAAGCGUGGGGAGCGAACAGGAUUAGAUACCCUGGUAGUCCACGCUGUAAACGAUGAUUACUCGAUGUUGGCGAUACACAGUCAGCGUCUUAGCGAAAGCGUUAAGUAAUCCACCUGGGGAGUACGCCCGCAAGGGUGAA